GUGCUCGCUUCGGUGGCACAUACACUAAAAUUGGAACGAUACAGAGGUUAGCAUGGCCCCUGCGCAAGGAUGACACGCAACUUCGCAAAGCAUCCCACGUUUUA
rnacentral:snRNA from 1 species